rnacentral:piRNA from 1 species
UAGCUAAAUGAACAUGAAACAGUCACUUAG